rnacentral:rRNA from 1 species
UACGUAGGGUCCGAGCGUUGUCCGGAAUUAUUGGGCGUAAAGGGCUCGUAGGCGGUCUGUUGCGUCGGGAGUGAAAACUUACAGCUUAACUGUGAGCGUGCUUUCGAUACGGGCAGACUUGAGGCAUUCAGGGGAGAACGGAAUUCCUGGUGUAGCGGUGAAAUGCGCAGAUAUCGGGAGGAACACCAGUGGCGAAGGCGGCUUCCUGGCCUGUUCUUGACGCUGAGGCGCGAAAGCUAGGGGAGCAAACGGG